UUUAUGAUUUCUUCUUUUUCGGUCAUCAGGGUUCGAGUUUUAAGCAUAGAAUAUAGAACUCAUGUAGUAAUAGUGUGUGUUGUUAUGAAUGGGAAUUUAAUUUGAUAGAUAACGUGCAGAUGAAAUAACAUAAGAUAGAAGAUAAAUCAAACUCAAAACUCAGAAAAACCAAACAUGUCAGUGAUUCAGAAUCUGUGGCUUUGUUGUCCUCGCACCCAACCCCUUUUAUUCAAGAUACUCCCAAGAAUCUAUGUAGCAUUCUCACCAAGAGGAAGCACUAUUUGGUGCCAUUCAAUGUCUCAGGCCACCAAAGUUUCCUCUUUUCCAGAUGGUGUGGAGCAAGUUGUGGACAAUAAUGCCCUUGGUGUUCCAAAAGUGGAGAUAUUGAAGCAGAAAAUGGAGCUUCUUGGUAUCAACUUGGAUAACUCUUGUUUGCCCGGGCAGUACCAUAACCUCUUUUGUCCAAAGUGCAAAGGUGGGAAACUAAAGGAGAGGAGUUUGUCUUUUCACAUCAUCCCUGAUUGUGAAUUUGCAAUGUGGAGGUGUUUUCGAGCUAAAUGCGGCUGGGCUGGUCGGGUUUUUGCAAACGACAGCAACUUGCACGGUUAUGGACAAAUGACUGAAGAGAGCUUAGGAUUGGAACCACUUGGUCCCAAGCUGAUUGCAUACUUUAAGGAGAGACAAAUAUCCGAAAAAACGCUAAGCAGAAAUGCUGUCAGGCAAAUGUCUGAGAGUAAGGAAAUCAUUGCUUUUACUUAUAAACAGAAUGGAUUGCUUGUUGGUUGCAAGUUUAGAACAAUGGAGAAAAGAUUUUGGCAGGUAAAAGGCACUGAGAAGAUGCUGUAUGGAAUUGAUGACAUUAAUCAUGCCUCUGAAGUCAUCAUUGUUGAGGGGGAAAUUGAUAAGCUUUCACUUGAGGAGGCUGGCUUCCAGAAUUGUGUCAGUGUUCCAGGGGGUGCACCUGGAAAAGUUUCAAAAGAUUUACCACCAAUAGAAAAGGUCAUCUUUUCUCUAAUCUUUGGAUUUGUGCAUGCUUGUCUUUAUGAAGUCAGGAUACUGCAUAUCAGUACCUGUGGAACUGGAAAGAGUACUUUGACAAGGUAGUUCGCAUCAUCCUGGCAACUGACAAUGAUCCACCAGGUCGAGCUUUAGCAGAUGAGCUGGCAAAACGCCUUGGACAAGAAAGGUGUUGGCAAGUACAUUGGCCAAAGAAAGAUGAUACCAACUGUUUCAAAGAUGCAAAUGAGGUUCUCAAGUACAUGGGAGCUGAUACUUUGAAGAGAAUAGUUGAAAAUGCAGAGCCAUAUACAAUUGCACACUAUUAGGAACACACAUGAUCAAAGAUUGUAUAAUUAAAAAUGUGAAAUGAAGAAACUAUUUGCUGGUUUUUACCAAGUUUCUUGGGGAAGCAAUGUGAGGGAAUUUUGAGCUUCUUUGAGGGAUUUAGAGUAGAAUUAGAAGGGGAUUAUUCCAUACAGGUUUUCAAGUGCAACAGUGAUGAAGAUUUCUGUAUAUCAUAUUCUUUGAAGUUUGGACUUGCAAAUUUAGUUAUACACUUUGAUUUUUUGUAUGAAAAAUAUAUUAUAUGUAUGAAAAAAUCAGUUAUU